GGGAGUUCCUAACUAACCAAUGAAGACCUAGACAACCAGGUGAGGAGGGGAGUUCCUAACUAACCAAUGACGACCUAGACAACCAGGUGAGGAGGGGAGUUCCUAACUAACCAAUGACGACCUUGACAACCAUGUGAGGAGGGGAGAUCCUAACUAACCAAUGACGACCUUGACAACCAGGUGAGGAGGGGAGUUCCUAACUAACCAAUGACGACCUAGACAACCAGGUGAGGAGGGGUGUUCCUAACUAAUCAGUGACCUUACUCGAUCACUCAAGUACAAACGAGGAGCAAAAACCCACAGACACUCGGCCCAUAGACAUAUAAUGGAACGAGUCUGACACCUGUGGUAAAGGUAGACAGCUUUAUUGAGUGCUGGGCAUAUAAUCCUACCACCAGAGGGCGUUGUGGAGCCAACUCACCCCAAGCAUAACUGUCUGUGUGCAUUAUCCACAUGAGUUGGCUAUUGGUUGUGGAAACUCUCAUCUUAACAUGCAUACGCCUGUAAUCUAGUCUCUUAUCUGGAUAUUGAGCAGUAUAUGGAAAGCAAGCCUACUCACAACCUCUAGAACUCUGUUGAGUAGCAGUACAGUCCCAGUAACCUCCACUACAGUCCCAGUAACCUCCACUAACAGUACAGUCCCAGUAACCUCCACUACAGUCCCAGUAAUCUCCACUAACAGUACAGUCCCAGUAACCUACACUACAGUCCCAGUAACCUCCACUACAGUCCCAGUAACGUCCACUACAGUCCCA
ensembl:lncRNA